rnacentral:rRNA from 1 species
GUGCACCAGUCGCGAAAACUUCACAAUGUGCGAAAGCACGAUGAGGGAAUCCCAAGUGCUUGCUCGUAAGAGUAAGCUGUUUCUCUGUCUAAAACGCAGAGAGAGUAAGGGCUGGGUAAGACGGGUGCCAGCCGCCGCGGUAAUACCUGCAGCUCGAGUGGUGGCCGCUAUUAUUGGGCCUAAAACGUCCGUAGCCGGUUAUU